CUCUAACAAACUAAGAAUGCCGUAGAAAUGCUUACCUGCAGUCAGACUGCGAGUAAUAAAAUCCGUGGUCAAAAGGGAAACAGCCCAGACCCACAGCUAAGGUCCCAAAUAUACGCUAAGUGGAAAACGAUGUGAGAUUGCAUAAACAACCAGGAUGUUGGCUUAGAGGCAGCCACUCGUUCAAAGAGUGCGUAAUAGCUCACUGGUCGAGUGAUCUUGCGCGGAAAAUUUAACGGGGCUAAGCAUGUAACCGAAGCUUGGGAUUGCGCUUUGCGCAGUGGUAGGGGAGCGUCGUGUACGGGGUGAAGUACGAUCGAGAGGACGUGUGGACUGUACACGAGUGAGAAUGCCGGAAUGAGUAGCGAGAAUUAUGUGGGAAUCAUAAUGGCCGAAAAUCUAAGGUUUCUUGGGGAAGGUUCGUCCGCCCAAGGUAAGUCGGGAGCUAAGGCGAGGCCGAGAGGCGUAGUCGAUGCACAUACGGUAGAAAUUCCGUAACCACCGAAACUUAAACAGAGGGACACUUCGAAAUAGCGGAACCCGGGCGUUGGUUGACCCGGGCGUAAGGGAGCGAAAAUAGAGUAGCGAAGUCCGCGAUGUUCGGAGGCGAGAAAAGCUCUGAGGUAUGCUAAGGUGCCCGUACCGCAAACCGACACAGGUAGAUGAGGAGAGAAUCCUAAGGCCAACGGGAGAAGGGUUGUUAAGGAACUCGGCAAAUUGACCCCGUAACUUCGGGAGAAGGGGUGCUCCAGAGAUGGAGCCGCAGAGAAUCGGCCCAAGCAACUGUUUACCAAAAACACAGGUUUGUGCUAAAUCGAAAGAUGACGUAUACGAGCUGACGCCUGCCCGGUGCUGGAAGGUUAAGAGGAGAUGUGCAAGCAUUGAAUCGAAGCCCCAGUGAACGGCGGCCGUAACUAUAACGGUCCUAAGGUAGCGAAAUUCCUUGUCAGGUAAGUUCUGACCCGCACGAAUGGCGUAAUGAUUUGGGCACUGUCUCAACAGCCCGCCCGGCGAAAUUGUAGUACCGGUGAAGAUGCCGGUUACCCGCGACAAGACGGAAAGACCCCAUGGAGCUUUACUGCAGCCUAAUAUUGGAUUUCGGUAUUUCAUGUACAGGAUAGGUGGGAGACUAGGAAACACAGGCGUCAGCUUGUGCGGAGUCGCCCUUGGGAUACCACCCUUGAAGUGCUGGAAUUCUAACCUGUGGCCAUGAAUCUGGUCA
rnacentral:rRNA from 1 species